rnacentral:misc_RNA from 1 species
GAUGAAGAACGUAGCAAAAUGCGAUAAGUAAUGUGAACUGCAGAAUUCAGUGAAUCAUCGAGUCUUUGAACGCACAUUGCGCCCGCCAGUAUUCUGGCGGGCAUGCCUGUUCGAGCGUCAUUUCAACCCUCAAGCACAGCUUGGUGUUGGGACUCGCGUUAAUUCGCGUUCCUCAAAUUGAUUGGCGGUCACGUCGAGCUUCCAUAGCGUAGUAGUAAAACCCUCGUUACUGGUAAUCGUCGCGGCCACGCCGUUAAACCCCAACUUCUGAAUGUUGACCUCGGAUCAGGUAGGAAUACCCGCUGAACUUAAGCAUAUCAAUAAGCGGAGGA